GGACUGUGCUUUGUGUUGAUAUGACAAAAUUGUCAUAUUUCCAUUAGAGGCUUCUGCAGUAGUGGCACUGGUGUUGUUGUUAUAUGGAAUACAACAAAGUUGUUGGAGAGCAGAGAAAUUUAUCAUUCGCAAUCCUACAAAGGGGAGGAGCUUCAAGAUGCUGAUGUUGCAGACAGCCAGCAGGCUUAUUACAAAUAAAUUAUUACCAAUGAAAGCUGUAUUAACACCAAAAAGUAAACAUUAUAUUCAACUUGACAUGAAUGCUGUGUUAGAACACUAAAUACUGCAUUCUUAGCCUCGAGAGGUUUUCUCAUAUAGGUGCUUGGUGUAUAAAAGCACACAUGCAGAUCAUAGAAAACAAAACUCACCUGUCAUGGAAUCCACAUCUCACCGGAUUUUGUUCUGUUGGAAACCACUGAUCGCCACAUGUGAAUCAAAUCUUGGUUGGGGUAAGUUGAUUACAUUGACCUCAAU